GAGUUAUAACACACAAGCAAACUCUAUAUGACAGUCUGGCAUCACAUUAGCAGGAAUCUUGUUCAUGAAUGGAGAAGCAAGGACUCCACGCAAAAAGGCAUGAAGGUAUGCCAAGCAGCAGUUACUGUACCAAACUCACACUCUUCUGUGAAAUCUGAUAAAGAAAUAUUGCAGAGGAAAAAGGAAAGGUCUGGAGGAUUUGAUUGCUGAGUUUCACCUGAGGAAGAGCCAAGGAAGAGAAAUGAAGUAAUAUCCACGAUCCCCUUCAGGCCUGCUGGAUUAAUGGAAUGAAGGGAACAGAGCAGAGAAGGCAGGCACGCGGGCAAGAAAGAUGGAAGAAACAAAGAAAGGCAGAAAGGGAGGAAUGAAAAAUGAGAG